ensembl:lncRNA
UUUUGCUGGAGAUUCUUGCUUAUGUGAAGUCUUCUAAGGGUGUGUGAAACUUAGAGGCAGUUGUAUCUUGGAAGUUCCUGGGGAUACCAUUGGCUUUGUUGGGCAGCACUGUGCACUAUUUCCUUGAGGGCUCUUGUUCUGAGCACGACUAUGGAAAAACAAGGACAGAAAUCUCUUAGAAAAUGUAGUCUGAGUGCCUGGAAAAGUUGAGUGGAGUCAUGGCAAAUGAAUAGAAACAUCAUGGCUGGCAAAGACUGCAGGAUUUCUUCAUCUAUCAGCUUCCUUCGAGAGCCCAAGCAGGUUCACAUCAAGAAGAACCUUUACAGAGAGAAGAUGAGUAGAUGUCUACCUUUGGUCCCUGUACUCUUUCAUAUGCCUUUGCCAUGGAUGAGUAAAAUGAGUUGUUCUGUACUACUUAUUGCCUUUGGUCAGGUCAUAUUCUGUGAUUCUGCCUGUUGCCCGUUGUCUGCCUGAAAGAAUUCACUUCUCAGAUUCUCAUGCAGUCUUUUUCUUACUGUUUGAGAAGUGUGAGCUUAUAGCGAGACUACUCAAAGCAAACUAGAUCUUCUAUGGACAAGUAAACUAUGAUAUGAGGUGAAAUUAGUAGUUAUUUUCUAGUUAUUUUACAUGUACUUAUGCAGGAAGUGCGUCUCUAAGUGUAACACCAGUUAGUAUUGUGGUAUGGGGAAUAUAAUCAAUAUUUUGAUCCUUUCCACCAUUCAUUAUUUCAAUAUUUCUUGUGUAAGAUUCCUUAACCUGUGAAUACUUCUUUUUUCCCCUCAACUUGAAUAUUUUCUUAUUUACUUGAGUGAAUUAGUGAUAUUUUCAUUGGGACACUAUACACAUGAAAUAUUAUUCAGGAUAAUCUUUAGAUGUUCUUUUUUUAAAUACUAAUUUCCUGUUCUCCAGUUAGAUCUGUAGAUCUUAAGCAGGUCAAUGACUAAGUGUUAUAUCCAUGUUAAUUCUCAAAUGACACAGCAGCCAUAUGGGGUGUAAAUCUCUCUUCUGUAAAAUACUAGCUAACCAUAAUGAGUACUGAGAAUGUGCAGAGCAGCAUAAUCAGACAGCAGAUACUUACAUCAGGUAAGAAAAUGCCAAUUUGUCAGUUUUGCAAUCACACGUUCAGAUAUCUUGCUACAAAUAAAAGCUUCUUAAUUAAGCAUAUUUAGAAAACGGAGCCCUGUAAAUCGAUUAAUCUAAUACAGUUAAGUGUCUUAAGAAACGAUCUACUUCAUUACUCUCAAAUAACAUGACAUUUUUACCACCAGAGGGCAAUAUUUUUCUAGGUUAAGACUAAACUAUUUGGUGAUUUUACAUCUUGGGAACUUUUACAUCUUGGGAACUAGUAAUUUAAGGAAAAGGAUUUUGGGUAAUGGUGGUUUUCUUUCUCUCUCUCUCUCUCCCUUUUUUUUUUUAAUUUCCUACCUACCUAUCUAUUUUAGUAUGUUCUGGCCACCUACUCCCUUCCUUUAUGCUUUUCAUGUUUAUAUAGGAAGACAGUCUAGCUUGAUGUCAGGCUAAUUUUUGAAAUUCAAAACAUUUGUGAAAAGCGCAAGAAGUGAAUACUGUUGUACUUUAUCAGAUACUUCCUUCUCACAAUUUAAUUAUAGGAAAAUACCUGAUUUUGAAGAACUGCGUAGUAUUCCUUCCUGUUUCCUUACAGAGGUAUGUUUAGAGCUGUUCAUCAAAUUUCUUUACUCCCACCAACUGUUUCUUCAGUGGUUGAUAGCGUAGGUGGCUUGAAGGCCCUGCUAAAAGCAAGAAGCAUUCCUCUGCGCUAGUGCCUCCUGCUAGGGUUAAUCCCUUGCUACUUUGUUCCAGUGACCAGUUUGGCACUACAAGGACUCCAGCUGCUGUUUGCUUUCUGCAAUGGUAUGAGGGAGUAAAUGUCAUGCUUGAUACAAUGGCCUUACAAGAGCAUGAAUCCAAGCUGUCAUUUCCUCAUGGAAUAUAAGGAAAUGUUAGCCUUUUAUAAAUGAUAUUAUGUGAUAGAAGUGGUCUUUGUUGGUGCUACAUAUAGGUUGUACUUCUUUAAAUGCUGUAUUGUGCAUUAUUUUAUUUUCAUGUAAUUCUCUUAAUAAUAGAAAAGAUCUUGAUCUCUAGAAGUAAUCUAUGUUCAUGUCUCCCCUGUAUGCGUGUCAGUCGCUCUUAAAUUCUGUUAAGUUGUAUGGGAAUGGUAAUGAGACAUCACAUAGAAUCACAGAAUCAUUUGAGUUGGAAGGGAUCCUUGCUUUUUUUUCUGCCAACAUUACAUGCUGCACUGAAUUCCUUUCUGAAGUAUCCUGAAGAUAUUUUUUCAACAGAAGACACUGAAAUUUGCUUUGUUCCUUGCAAUGAUGAACACCCACAGCCCUUUCCCAUUAACUGACUGCUUGGAACUGUCGAGUCAUUUUUCCAAGGUUGUGAUUGUCAGCAAGAGAUGUGGAGUGCAUACACAUCAAUGUUUUUUGCUGCUUUCCCCUCACUGCUUUGAGAAAUUCCAGUUAGUGACAAUAAACACCACAAACUAAG